rnacentral:rRNA from 1 species
CCUACGGGAGGCAGCAGUGGGGAAUAUUGGGCAAUGGGCGCAAGCCUGACCCAGCAACGCCGCGUGAGGGAAGAAGGCUUUAGGGUUGUAAAAUUCUUUUUAGAGGGAAGCGCAGACGACGGUACCUCUUGACUCAGCCACGGCUCACUACGUGCCCGCAGCCGCGGUAAUACGGAGGUGGCAAGCGUUGUCCGGAAUUACUAGGUGUAAAGGGAGCGCAGGCGGGAAGCGAAGUCAGCUGUGAAAACUACGGGCGUAACUUGUAGACUGCAGUUGAAACUGGGUGUCUUGAGUGAAGUAGAGGAAGGCGGAAUUCGGAGUGUAGCGGUGAAAUGCAUAGAUAUUCGGAGGAACACCGGUGGCGAAGGCGGCCAACCGGGCUUUAACUGACGCUGAGGCUCGAAAGUGUGGGGAGCAAACAGGAUUAGAUACCCCAGUAGUC